rnacentral:lncRNA from 1 species
CUGUAAGACAAAAAAGAAUAGAGAGCAAUGACUAUUGCUGAAUUUGAUGGCAUUAUUUUUGAACAACCUUGGACUCCAUCAUAUUAUGUUGCAAUUUCUUAGCUUUCCACAAGGUUCCCUGGAGAACAAUGUGUUAGGGAAUGCUAUAAGAAGAAGCGUGGAUAGGCUUUAAUCUUUUUUAGUUUAUAUUAUCUUAUAUGGAUAUUUGAUGUAAUAAUUGUCUUACUCUUUUACAAGUGUUGAGAAAUGAAUAAAUUAUCAAAAAAAAGUUUAAGCAAAUCUUAAAACUUAGAAUUGAAGUAACCCUAAUAAUAUUCAUAGAAUCCAAAUU